UACAGAGACUGCAAGCGUUAUUCGGAUUCACUGGGCGUAAAGGGUGCGCAGGCGGCCAAGUGUGUUAGGCGUGAAAGCCCGGGGCUUAACCCCGGAAUUGCACCUAAAACUACAUGGCUAGAGCAUUGGAGAGGGUAGCAGAAUUCAUGGUGUAGCAGUGAAAUGCGUAGAUAUCAUGAGGAAUACCAGAGGCGAAGGCGGCUACCUGGACAAUUGCUGACGCUCAGGCACGAAAGCGUGGGGGAGCAAAAGGG
rnacentral:rRNA from 1 species